rnacentral:rRNA from 1 species
AAUGAACGCUGGCGGCAGGCCUAACACAUGCAAGUCGAACGAAGCCUUCGGGCUUAGUGGCGGACGGGUGAGUAACGCGUGGGAACAUACCCAAAGGUACGGAAUAGCCUCGGGAAACUGGGAGUAAUACCGUAUGUGCCCUUCGGGGGAAAGAUUUAUCGCCUUUGGAUUGGCCCGCGUUGGAUUAGGUAGUUGGUGGGGUAAUGGCCUACCAAGCCGACGAUCCAUAGCUGGUUUGAGAGGAUGAUCAGCCACACUGGGACUGAGACACGGCCCAGACUCCUACGGGAGGCAGCAGUUGGGAAUCUUAGACAAUGGGCGCAAGCCUGAUCUAGCCAUGCCGCGUGAUCGAUGAAGGCCUUAGGGUUGUAAAGAUCUUUCAGAUGGGAAGAUAAUGACGGUAC